rnacentral:rRNA from 1 species
CGAAAGCCUGACGGAGCAACGCCGCGUGAGGGAUGAAGGCCUCUGGGCUGUAAACCUCUUUUAUCAAGGAAGAAGAUCUGACGGUACUUGAUGAAUAAGCCACGGCUAAUUCCGUGCCAGCCGCCGCGGUAAUACGGGAGUGGCAAGCGUUAUCCGGAAUUAUUGGGCGUAAAGCGUCCGCAGGCGGUCUUUUAAGUCUGUCGUCAAAGCGUGGAGCUUAACUCCAUUACUGCGAUGGAAACUGGAAGACUAGAGUGUGGUAGGGGCAGAGGGAAUUCCCGGUGUGGCGGUGAAAUGCGUAGAUAUCGGGAAGAACACCAGUGGCGAAGGCGCUCUGCUGGGCCAUAACUGACGCUCAUGGACGAAAGCCAGGGGAGCG